rnacentral:rRNA from 1 species
GACAGAGGAUGCAAGCGUUAUCCGGAAUGAUUGGGCGUAAAGCGUCUGUAGGUGGCUUUUUAAGUCCGCCGUCAAAUCCCAGGGCUCAACCCUCGGACAGGCGGUGGAAACUACCAAGCUGGAGUACGGGUAGGGGGCAGAGGGAAUUUCCGGUGGAGCGGGUGAAAUGCUGUGAGAGAUCGGAAAAGAACACCAACGGGCGAAAAGCA